UCCCCGGUGGGCGGCUCUUCUUCCCCGGCGGCGCCCCUCCUGCUUUCUGAAGAACGGAUUCUUCUUAUUUCUUAGAUCUCUGCGUGUUUUAAUUUUUUUAUUUGGAUCUGUGAUAUCUAGCUUUGAUAAUUUGGUUCUUUAAUCGUAUAAAAAAGAUAGAUUCAUAAAGAUAGCCGUUACCUGAUGGAUGAUAGCUUGUGUAUAAUAAUAAUGAUAUUUCACAAAGUUAUGCAGGAAUCUUAGCCCAUGCUAAUAGAGAAGAGAAGGUGGAGAGGAUGAGCCAAACAAGUGAAUUCAAUGGUUCCAGUGCUGGUCAACAACUGUCAGAUACCUGCCAAUUUCCAAAGUGUCAUUAAUCAAAUCAUGUAAUUGUUUCAGGCAAAGAAUUUUAACUGGUGCACCGUAUAUAGGUGAUGUAAGAAACAAUUGCUGACACAGAAUAUUGAUGACGAGGAAACUAAUAACAAAUGAGGAAUAUUGCCAGCAGUAGGACAUCUUUUACUUUAUGUAUUGGGAGCUUUACAAUGAGCACAGAACAACCAGACAAGCUCACCUCCUCUACAUCGGGUGCAAUUCCUACCGAGGCUUCCAUAAAGAUCAAGCCAGGCUCUUUGGCAAAUUGUUAUCCCUCCUCAGUGCUGCAGCUUCUGUGAACAUGAUCGAGCAUCUUCCAGCCGGCUUUCGAGAUGAUUGAAUGUCUCCCUCCUGAUAAUGAACUCAUGAACGAACAGUCCUAGAAUCUUGAAUUCAUUGUAUCUAAUAUGUAAUGACUACCUGGUGAUGUCAUGGACAAGCAAUGCACCAGAAUCACCUUAUAUAAGAUAUGGUGAUUGAUGUGAAAGAUCCUUGUCCAGUCUAUAAAGCUUUGCGUCAAAUGCUUGUCAUUC